CAGCAGCCGCGGUAAUACGGAGGGUGCAAGCGUUAAUCGGAAUUACUGGGCGUAAAGCGCACGCAGGCGGUUUGUUAAGUCAGAUGUGAAAUCCCCGGGCUCAACCUGGGAACUGCAUUUGAAACUGGCAAGCUAGAGUCUCGUAGAGGGGGGUAGAAUUCCAGGUGUAGCGGUGAAAUGCGUAGAGAUCUGGAGGAAUACCGGUGGCGAAGGCGGCCCCCUGGACGAAGACUGACGCUCAGGUGCGAAAGCGUGGGGAGCAAACAGGAUUAGAUACCCCGGUAGUCCCUGUCUCUUAUAC
rnacentral:rRNA from 1 species